rnacentral:rRNA from 1 species
AAUGAACGCUGGCGGCGUGCCUUACACAUGCAAGUCGAGCGAGGCGGCCCGCAAGGGUCAGUCGAGCGGCGGACGGGUGAGUAACGCGUGGAUAACCUGCCCAGAGGUGGGGGAUAACCCGGGGAAACUCGGGCUAAUACCGCAUGAUACCGAGAGGUCAAAGGGGGCUCGCAAGGGCUCUCGCCAUUGGAGGGGUCCGCGUCCGAUUAGCUAGUUGGUGGGGUAAUGGCCUACCAAGGCGACGAUCGGUAGCCGGCCUGAGAGGGUGAUCGGCCACACUGGAACUGAGACACGGUCCAGACUCCUACGGGAGGCAGCAGUGGGGAAUUUUGCGCAAUGGGCUAACGCCUGACGCAGCAACGCCGCGUGGAGGAUGAAGGUCUUUGGAUUGUAAACUCCUGUCAGCAGGGAAAAAGCAAAUCGGCCUAACACGCCGGUGAGUUGAUUGUACCUGCAGAGGAAGCCCCGGCUAACUCUGUGCCAGCAGCCGCGGUAAUACAGAGGGGGCAAGCGUUAUUCGGAAUUAUUGGGCGUAAAAGGCGCGUAGGCGGCUUCGCAAGUGGAUGGUGAAAUCCCUCGGCUUAACCGAGGAACUGCCAUCCAAACUGCGUUGCUUGAGGCCGGGAGAGGCGAGUGGAAUUCCCAGUGUAGCGGUGAAAUGCGUAGAUAUUGGGAGGAACACCAGUGGCGAAGGCGGCUCGCUGGACCGGUUCUGACGCUGAGGCGCGAAAGCGUGGGGAGCAAACGGGAUUAGAUACCCCGGUAGUCCACGCUGUAAACGAUGAGUGCUGGGUGUAGCGGGUAUCGACCCCUGCUGUGCCGAA